rnacentral:rRNA from 1 species
CAGCAGCCGCGGGAAUACAGAGGGUGCGAGCGUUAAUCGGAUUUACUGGGCGUAAAGCGUGCGUAGGCGGCUAAUUGAGUCGGAUGUGAAAUCCCCGAGCUUAACUUGGGAAUUGCAUUCGAUACUGGGAAGCUAGAGUAUGGGAGAGGAUGGUAGAAUUCCAGGUGUAGCGGUGAAAUGCGUAGAGAUCUGGAGGAAUACCGAUGGCGAAGGCAGCCAUCUGGCCUAAUACUGACGCUGAGGUACGAAAGCAUGGGGAGCAAACAGGAUUAGAUACCCCCGUAGUCCCUGUCUCUUAUAC